rnacentral:rRNA from 1 species
UACGGAGGAUGCAAGCGUUAUCCGGAAUGAUUGGGCGUAAAGCGUCCGCAGGUGGCUAUGUAAGUCUGCUGUUAAAGAGUGAGGCUCAACCUCAUAAGAGCAGUGGAAACUACAUGGCUAGAGUGCAGUAGGGGUAGAGGGAAUUCCCGGUGUAGCGGUGAAAUGCGUAGAGAUCGGGAAGAACAUCGGUGGCGAAAGCGCUCUGCUGGACUGCAACUGACACUCAGGGACGAAAGCUAGGGGAGCGAAUGGG